rnacentral:lncRNA from 1 species
AUGAUUCAGACUUCGAUCUUGAAAAGUAUCAAGAAGCACAAGACCCGAAUGCAGAAUGACGGAAGCAAAAUGCAGAAUGACGCAAUCAAAGAUGCUUCAAGCUCACUUAUUGCUACUAUACUAUUACCAUUUAGAAAAAAAAAAUGGCCAACCUUUUCCUUUUUGACUUCUUGGACAAAAUGUGUCGGAAGUCUCAUUUUCCUCUCUAUAUAAUGCCUAUUGUAGUUUUGAAGAAGG